CCCUUAGAUGUUCUGGGCCGCACGCGUGCUACACUGAGUGGAUCAGCGGGUCAGGUUGCGCGAAAGCGUUUCCUAAUCUUUAAAUCCGCUCGUGAUGGGGAUUGACGGUUGCCAUUUUCUGUCAUGAACGAGGAAUACCUUGUAAGCGCGGGUCAUCAUCCCGCGCUGAAUACGUCCCUGCCCUUUGUACACACCGCCCGUCGCUCCUACCGAUUGAGUGGUCCGGUGAGGCUUUGGGAUCUGAGCGGAAAGAGCGUUUCGCUGUUUCUGCUCGGAAAACUCAGUCGAACCUUAUCAUUUAGAGGAAGGAGAAGUCGUAACA
rnacentral:rRNA from 1 species